rnacentral:sRNA from 1 species
UUAAUAGAUUUUCUAGGCUUUACCAUUUGC